ACCUACGGGGGGCAGCAGUGGGGAAUAUUGCACAAUGGGGGAAACCCUGAUGCAGCGACGCCGCGUGAGCAAUGAAGUAUCUCGGUAUGUAAAGCUCUAUCAGCAGGGAAGAAAGUGACAGUACCUGACUAAGAAGCCCCGGCUAACUACGUGCCAGCAGCCGCGGUAAUACGUAGGGGGCAAGCGUUAUCCGGAUUUACUGGGUGUAAAGGGAGCGUAGACGGUGCAGCAAGUCUGAUGUGAAAGGUCGGGGCCCAACCCCGGGACUGCAUUGGAAACUGUUGAACUGGAGUACAGGAGAGGUA
rnacentral:rRNA from 1 species